CCGUCAGGAGUACGUGCGAGGAGACAUUACCGAGUGAGGGCCCUCUGGGUCCAACCUCCCACCCGUGUUUAUCGUACCUUGUUGCUUCGGCGGGCCCGCCGCAAGGCCGCCGGGGGGCAUCUGCCCUCUGGCCCGCGCCCGCCGAAGACACCAUUGAACGCUGUCUGAAGAUUGCAGUCUGAGCAAUUAGUUAAAUAACUUAAAACUUUCAACAACGGAUCUCUUGGUUCCGGCAUCGAUGAAGAACGCAGCGAAAUGCGAUACGUAAUGUGAAUUGCAGAAUUCAGUGAAUCAUCGAGUCUUUGAACGCACAUUGCGCCCCCUGGUAUUCCGGGGGGCAUGCCUGUCCGAGCGUCAUUGCUGCCCUCAAGCACGGCUUGUGUGUUGGGCUCCGUCCUCCUUCCGGGGGACGGGCCCGAAAGGCAGCGGCGGCACCGCGUCCGGUCCUCGAGCGUAUGGGGCUUCGUCACCCGCUCUGCAGGCCCGGCCGGCGCUUGCCGACACAUCAAUCUUUUUUCCAGGUUGACCUCGGAUCAGGUAGGGAUACCCGCUGAACUUAAGCAUAUCAAUAAGCGGACGAA
rnacentral:rRNA from 1 species